rnacentral:misc_RNA from 1 species
GUUGAUAUAUGAACCUACAUAAAAUUAGAUGAAGAAAAGAAAUAACAAGGAACGUAGAAUUUUUAAUUAAAUUUUGAAACCGGUCGUUUCACCGCACUUGAUAGGGUCGGUGUUAAGAAUAUGACUUUCGAGUGUCAGCGUAUUUUACCUCUGACGGAUAUCGUCGCGUUAAAAAUCGCGUUGAAGGAAACGCGAAUAAAUUUGUUAAUUACAGUAAUCGGUUUUUGAAUCGCUAUGCCGCGGCGAUAUUUCGUGUACCACCGGCGGCGCAUGAUGUCCCUUGGGGAAGAUACGAAUGUACCACCGGUGGUUCGGCUCGUCGUGAACGUGUUAAACGCAUGAAACUUCCACGGUGCGGGUUAUAUAAACACGAAGUUUCAUACGAUUUAUGUCAACGUAUGAACGAGGCUUGGUGACCUUCUAUGAGCGCGUUCGUCGAUUUAUACGCGUAUUACUUUCUACACGACCCUCGUCUCCAACGUUCUGAGGGAACGUCAGGAUAGCAGAGGGGUAUUGGCGAUUGAAGAAUUUCUGAGUGUCGAAGGGAAGGCAGUCUGGAGGCAAUGGGGAAGGUCAUGGAGGAGACGGGGAAAAAAGAAGAAGGAAAGCGGAGAAGA